rnacentral:rRNA from 1 species
CCUACGGGGGGCAGCAGUGGGGAAUAUUGCACAAUGGGGGAAACCCUGAUGCAGCAACGCCGCGUGAGCGAUGAAGGCCUUCGGGUCGUAAAGCUCUGUCCUAAGGGAAGAAUACUGACGGUACCUUAGGAGGAAGCCCCGGCUAACUACGUGCCAGCAGCCGCGGUAAUACGUAGGGGGCUAGCGUGAUCCGGAAUUACUGGGCGUAAAGGGUGCGUAGGCGGCCCUUCAAGUCAGAGGUGAAAGGAUACGGCUCAACCGUAGUAAGCCUUUGAAACUGUAGGGCUUGAGUGCAGGAGAGUAGAGUGGAAUUCCAGGGGUAGCGGUGAAGUGCGUAGAUAUUGGGAGGAACACCAGUUGAGAAAGCGGCUCACUGAGCUGAAACUGACGCUUAGGCUCGAAAGCGUGGUGGUCAAAAAGGAUUAGAUGCCCGAGUAGUC